AAAAUUCAGCAACGGCACCAGACUACACAUCAGCAUACACACUGACUCAACUACACCUGCAGAGUUACCACAGUGUCAGAAUCACACUGAAGUGUUGCUAAAUGAGCAGACAACAUGGAUGAAACAUUUUGCUCUAUGUUGCAUGAUCAGUGUUUUACUGAUUAUUGGAUGAUAGGUGCCGAGAGCUGCAGAGAGGGUGAUCCGCCAAGCUUCAGCAAUACAAGCUCCUAAGCUGUCAACAGUAACACACAUUGUGCUGGAGGAGAUUGGUGGAUGUUUUCCUUCUUGGGGAGCACAUUGAGGGGACCCAGUUUGGCUUUGACAACCAUCAGUCUGAUUGGUUGUGACCGUGUUUCUAAAGAUAAGGCUCCAGCAUGUUGCCAAACUCGCCUCUCUUGAACUACAGAAAGGGAGCAUGAGAAAGAAGCUCUGCAAAACAGUCCUCUUUCAGGGGUGUUAGUAUGUGUGAGUGAGAGAGAGAGAGAAGAUUGUGUGUGUGUGUAUGUCAUAAAUCAUCAUACAUUGUUUCUUCAACUUAUUAAAAUAUCUUAUUUUACUGCAACUAUCUGUUUCUGCUUCUUUAUCAUAUUUAUAGUGUGUGAUUUAUAAAUUACCUUAUAUCAUGCAUCACAUAUUUUGAUUUUGGACCUGGCAAACAAGUUACACUGAGUGGAGCUGGUGACCGAUCCAAGAUGGCGGCUCCAUGGCUUGACCGUGCCAAUAGGCAGUAGCGUUCGAUAGGGCGUCUAUCUAUAUGAUGUCUAAGGCUAAAUUGGCAACACUGCUUCUUCUUGCUUGUUUUAUGGUGGAUCACAGACUUAUAAGUGCAUUACUGCCACUUAUCUCUCAAAUGGACCAUUAACAUUAUAUCUACAAUCUCAAUUAGGAGUGAUAAUGGUCCAUUUGGGAGAUAGGUUACAGUAAUGCACUUAUAAGUCUUACACUUUUUUAUAGAUUCUAUUACCAUUGCCAAGCAUUGACAGACUGCAACUCCUGAAGCUAAACAUCAUAAUGUGUGUUCUACUGAAGAAACAAAGUGACCUACAUCUUGGAUGCCCUGGGUGUAAGCAGAUAAACAUAACAUUUUCAUUGUUUUCCCUUUAAUGCAUCUGUCUCACUAAUAAAAUUACUUGCAUGUAUGGAGUUGCAUUUUAUUUUAUGUUUCAUAAUGUAAAUUUUGUUCAAUUAUUUGUUUAAAUAACUAAAUCACUAUGCCUGUACUAGCAUUUUGUCUGUAGCCUACUUUCUGCACUGGAAGCUCCUGUCGUCAAAUCACAUUAAUUGUGUGUGUGUAAAUUAGUGGUGGCCCGUUAUCGACGUUAACGUGCUGCGUUUAC